CACUAGUGAUUCUCCUGGAAACGGGUGGUAAUGCCGGAUGCUCCAGUUGGAUGCAUGUUUUUCUGGGAAAGAUUAUAUCGGUAUGGGAUGGGGUCGCGUCCUAUCAGGUAGUCGGCGGGGUAACGGCCCACCGAGCCUACGACGGGUAGCCGGCCUGAGAGGGCGACCGGCCACAUUGGGACUGAGAUACGGCCCAGACUCCUACGGGAGGCAGCAGUGGGGAAUAUUGCACAAUGGGCGCAAGCCUGAUGCAGCGACGCCGCGUGCGGGAUGACGGCCUUCGGGUUGUAAACCGCUUUUGAUUGGGAGCAAGCCUUCGGGUGAGUGUACCUUUCGAAUAAGCACCGGCUAACUACGUGCCAGCAGCCGCGGUAAUACGUAGGGUGCAAGCGUUAUCCGGAAUUAUUGGGCGUAAAGGGCUCGUAGGCGGUUCGUCGCGUCCGGUGUGAAAGUCCAUCGCUUAACGGUGGAUCCGCGCCGGGUACGGGCGGGCUUGAGUGCGGUAGGGGAGACUGGAAUUCCCGGUGUAACGGUGGAAUGUGUAGAUAUCGGGAAGAACACCAAUCGAAUUC
rnacentral:rRNA from 1 species